UACGGGGGGGGCAAGCGUUGUUCGGAUUCAUUGGGCGUAAAGGGUGCGUAGGCGGCGCGGUAAGUCGGGUGUGAAAUCUCGGGGCUUAACUCCGAAACUGCAUUCGAUACUGCGGUGCUUGAGGACUGGAGAGGAGACUGGAAUUCAUGGUGUAGCAGUGAAAUGCGUAGAGAUCAUGAGGAAGACCAGUGGCGAAGGCGGGUCUCUGGACAGUUCCUGACACUGAGGCACGAAGGCCAGGGGAGCAAACGGG
rnacentral:rRNA from 1 species